UAGUUCCGUCACUACAUAUGAAAAUUUUUCGUCGCAAAAAUUGGAGACGAAUGACUAAUUGUCCCUAAAUUAAAGAAAUUUUCUUAUCAUUGGAGACGGAAAUUUUCCAUUGCAAAUUGGGGGCGGAUAAUUAAAUGUCCCUAAAUUAAAAAUCCGAGACCCCUUCCCGCGCGCACUCAAAUCUCAAACAAUUUGAUGAGUUUUGAGAAAUCGUUCCCGAUCAAAACGAUAGAGUGCUUCUUCACCCUUCUCUUUGUGCAGAGAGAGAGGAAAAGAGUUUCCGCCCUAGCUUUGGACACAGCAGAAAACCCUGCUCUUCGCGCAUAGAGAGAAGAGCCCAGAUCCGCCUCUGCCCUUGGUUCUGAACACAGAAAACCCUGCUCUUCGCGCAUAGAUAGAAGAGACCAGAUCCACCUCCGCCCUGGUUCUGAACACAGAAAACCAUGCUAUUUGCCACAAGAAGGAGCUACCCCUCCGCCCAAAUCGUUACUUUGUGGGCUUUCUUCACCAAAAUUUCUGGUACCUAUUCUCUGUUUCUCCUGAUUUGAUGCUUUUAUGCUAUAUAGGGUUUUAAGGAUCCUCCAAGUGUUGGUUGGGUUUGUAAUGGACUAGCUGUACUGGGGGAUUAAUGUCAACGGACUUCGCCACAUUGGGUGGAACUUCAUCAUAGAUUUUUGAGUUUCCGAUAGUGUUUAUGUGAGAGUAACCGAUGACGAUUCUGAAUUGGCUGUGGUUGGAUCACUAAAUUCAUAGCUGGGGUGGGAUUUAAAGCUAAUAUAUUUGAUUUUAUUUUUUUCCAUUUGUAUUUUCCAAUUGUAGAUCAGAGUGAUGUAGACAAUGAGGGCAAACAUGUAAUCUAACUCUCAAUGUGCUUUCAUAUUUUGGUGGAAACUCUUGUA